UUUAAGCCAUGAGAUAACCCAGUCUGCGAGUGUAGCUAAAGAGGGCCGAGGAGGACAGAAUAGAGGUCUCAGCACACUGACGGCGAGAAGCUGACCAGAGGGGCCAGGCCCAGCUGAAGAGUCUGAGACGGAUCAUCUAGGGAAAUUAGAAGACCACCAGGAGGGAACAGUGUCUUGGAAAGCAUGAAAAGAAGCCGUUUCAGGAAAAGAGCGUGUUCAGCUGCGUUGCUGAAAUGAGGGCAGGGAAAUUUCGAGAAGAUUUGUGUGGAUAUUGACGUGUGCAUCAGAUGCCCUCGGCAGCUAGGAACUGAAAUCCCAUCUCACGUGGGCUUUGCCGGUAAAGACAGGUUUCAUCCCCGCCCCCCAGGGAACCCGGAGCCUGGGCUGCGGGGUUGGUCAGUUAGGUGGUUGAAUGAUGCCACCAAGCACCCAGGUUCUUUGCAUCUCUUCUCCACUGUCUUCAGUGUGGGCUCCACCACCAGGCUGGCGAAGAGACGCUCUCAUCUGGACACGGUCACAUUUCAAGGAAAAGGAAGACCCUCUCUUUCCAUGGCUUUCCUGGGAGAGAGCGCAUCUCCCAGCAGACCUCCUGGGAUUCCAGUGGUAGAACUGGCCUGGGUGGCCUUUCCUAAGCCAAUUGUUGGCAAGAAGACAGAGGUGACUCUUAGACCGACGAGCUGAUCCCUUCAGGCGCAGGACUCAAAGGGGGAAAAACAACAGAACAGCAGAAAGAAAGCUACAUAGUUUCUGUUAAAGCUGAAGAGCUCUGAAGUUUUGGAACCAGCGGGACUUGCUGACAUUGCCUGUCUAUUGUGGCCCAGGAGAAGUUAUGACUGUCAACCUACCCGCCUCAGGGAGGCAAGACUCCUUUGCUGCAUCUCUCGGCCUGGACAUCAGUGGUCCUGGUCCACGCCUGACACUCUGCCCAUAUCGAAUUCCCCAAUUUCUUGAUUUUUUCUGGUGGCUUUCACUCAUUCCUGGGCCAGACCUAAUGUGACUCAUGGCAAUGCUUGGAAAACAUGUGUGAAAAAAUACUCCAAAAAUUUCUCCAUGUUUGUUUUUCUGCACUUCAGUGGGCAAACGAGGGCUCUGAUAUUAGAGGGCUUGGUCCUUAUUGGCAUACAAUAAAUAGUUUGUUGAAUUUUCCACAUCA